UGCUGCUUCUUGCUGGAUGAAGAGGACGACAUGGACUGGAAGGACUGAGAACAAUCAGAAACUGCUGACAGACUCCUCGUCCUCCUGGAUUCGUCCUCCACUUCCUGUUUGCUAGGUGACUCCUGAAGACGACUGGGUUGUUUGAUGAAAGGUGAAGCUUACAGUCCGACCAGCGGCAGGCUGGAGGCUUUCGGAUCAGACUCAAGCAGCAGAAGCAACUUCCUGGUCUGGUCCAUGGUCAGAAACCUGAAAGGAGAACUAAGACGUCAGCAAACGUGAUUAGAGGCCGCGACGUGUGGCGAUGAACUCUCGCUCUCUCACCCUCUCUGUCGGCUGCUUUCAUGCCCCAGCGGUCUGCUUACGUUGGUCAGACUCCUGAACAGAGCAGUCGGGAUGAUGGGGACACUUCUGACCGGCUCCACUUCCACGCUGACA